CCUACGGGUGGCAGCAGUGAGGAAUAUUGGUCAAUGGACGAGAGUCUGAACCAGCCAAGUAGCGUGAAGGAUGACUGCCCUAGGGGUUGUAAACUUCUUUUAUAUGGGAAUAAAAUGUUCCACGUGUGGGAUUUUGUAUGUACCAUAUGAAUAAGGAUCGGCUAACUCCGUGCCAGCAGCCGCGGUAAUACGGAGGAUCCGAGCGUUAUCCGGAUUUAUUGGGUUUAAAGGGAGCGUAGGUGGAUUGUUAAGUCAGUUGUGAAAGUUUGCGGCUCAACCGUAAAAUUGCAGUUGAAACUGGCAGUCUUGAGUACUGUAGAGGUGGGCGGAAUUCGUGGUGUAGCGGUGAAAUGCUUAGAUAUCACGAAGAACUCCGAUUGCGAAGGCAGUUCACUGGACUGCAACUGACACUGAGGCGCGAAAGUGUGGGUAUCAAACAGGAUUAGAUACCCUUGUAGUC
rnacentral:rRNA from 1 species